CUCAAUGGUUUCUUACACUGACUGAGGGUAGAAGGAGGAAAAGCUGCUAAUGAAAUGGGGGUCCAAAGGAAAUCUAGCAUGCUGGAUGCUUUGAAUCUCUUUUUGAUAGGUAUCAAACAGAAUGCUCAGAUUUGCUUUGGGAUCAGAUGCUUCAGGAUGAAGUGUUGCUGACUAUCAGUUCUGUACUUCAUCUGGUUCCUAAGGGACCUUGACAUGGCCAAACACAGGCUACAUCUGUGCUUGGAGCAGGAUCUAGGUGAGCUCAUCUGCAGGUUUGUGCUCUUACUCAGUGCCAGCAGCUGUGUUCCAGGGAAAGCUGUUUUUAAGGCAUGGAUGCAGAUUGACUUUUGGGCUAGAACUGUCUCCAUUGUAGGACUAUAUAUGUGAAUCACUUCUGCAAUGCACCUGGUUGCCUGGAGGUCUCACUGUGAAGCCCUAAAUGUACCAGUCAAAUCUUAAGGGUGUGUCUAGAUCAUUCUCUUCAAACACAACUCAGUAUGAAUUUGCUGUGAAAAGCAGCUACACUUUGCUGGAAGGACCAACAUUUGGGCUCAGGAAAAGGUUCUGAGAGAGUGCAGAUGUAUUUAACUUUGACAACACUGUUUCUCACUUUGCUGUUCUGUGGUGCCAGUGAUUUGAGAAGCAGAUGGUCACGCAACUGUGCGUUAUCCCACUAAUAGAUAUACUAAGACAUACCAAGGAGAGAGACAUAAACUGUCUCCCUCACCCAAUAUUUUUAUCCUAGUUAGAUUAUACCAUCAUGCAGAAAAUAGCUGUGUAUUCUGGCUGCUGGACAAUGUUCCUGGAUCUGCUAAUGCAAUCCCACUGAAGCAGAGCAAUCAUCCUGAUGUAUCUUUAAAGAGACUUUUGAUUUUUAAAGUGAAAUAACUCAUGGGAAGGGAGCUGCUACUAACAUGAUUUUCAAGUAGUGGAGGUAUGGGUGAGCAUCUUGCUUAUUCCCUGUGUACUGUGCAUCUGUUACAAUAAUAGGAAGAGAAUCUCUGUUUUCGUGAGCUCAUCCAAAUCUUGCUGCAAUUGAAGACAGUCCUGCUGUGAGCCUUUGCUGAGUGCCUGGAACAUGAACCAAGACUGCAGUAAAAGAUAUAAAAUUAAAAUGUUUCUCUUAAACAAAUAAACAAAAAAGGCAUUUGAUACCUGCUGUGUAGUUUGCACAUUUUAUCUCCUUUGCUUAAGUGCUUAAUUACUUUGCCUAAUUCAGCUUUUCUAGGCCUUAGUGGUUUAGUUUAUACAGAGUCUGUAACUGUGGGUUUCUCUUCUUUUCUGGUAGUCUUUUGUAGGAGUAAAAUACACUUGCAGGAAGGACACCCAGGCUGCUUUCAGAAUAAAAAUAUGUUGCCUGUAUUGAACAUCGCAUUUACCUUCACAUCCUGAUUGGAAACAGAGAUAUUUAAACUCUUUA